UACGGGAGGCAGCAGUGGGGAAUAUUGCACAAUGGGCGCAAGCCUGAUGCAGCCAUGCCGCGUGUAUGAAAAAGGCCUUUCGGGGUUGUAAAGUACUUUCAGUCGUGAGGAAGGUGUUAAGGUUAAUAACCUUAGCAAUUGACGUUAGCGACAGAAGAAGCACCGGCUAACUCCGUGCCAGCAGCCGCGGUAAUACGGAGGGUGCGAGCGUUAAUCGGAAUUACUGGGCGUAAAGGGCACGCAGGCGGUUAAUUAAGUUGGAUGUGAAAUCCCCGGGCUUAACCUGGGAAUGGCAUUCAAGACUGGUUAGCUAGAGUCUUGUAGAGGGGGUAGAAUUCCAUGUGUAGCGGUGAAAUGCGUAGAGAUGUGGAGGAAUACCGGUGGCGAAGGCGGCCCCUGGACAAAGACUGACGCUCGAUGUGCGAAAGCGUGGGGAGCGAAACAGGGAUUAGAUACC
rnacentral:rRNA from 1 species